UUUGAAAGGGAAACGAUUGAAGUCAGUCGUACCGGCGGGUAAUCAGCCUUUUGGGUGUGAUUAUGUGGGGCGUGAGGAGUUAAUCACCCUCAUCUUUGCAUAUUCGUGCACUUUGGGUGUACUUGCUCGUGUGGUAGGUUAACAUCAAUUUUGAUCAUCAUAAAAUGAUUGGAGGAAUGUAGCUUCGAUCUUGUAUUGAAGUGUUAUAGCCUUUGGUAGAUGUGAUGGUCGGGAUUGAGGAUUGCAACGGAUACCUUUCGGGGCUACCUGUCUGAUCUCUGAAAGUUGCUCUGGUGCUGAAAGCUUGCUUAUGGUAUCAAAGUGACGUCAAUAGUG
rnacentral:rRNA from 1 species